CCUACGGGAGGCUGCAGUGGGGAAUAUUGCACAAUGGGGGAAACCCUGAUGCAGCGACGCCGCGUGAGUGAAGAAGUAUCUCGGUAUGUAAAGCUCUAUCAGCAGGGAAGAAAAUGACGGUACCUGACUAAGAAGCCCCGGCGAACUACGGGCCAGCAGCCGCGGUAAUACGUAGGGGGCAAGCGUUAUCCGGAUUUACUGGGUGUAAAGGGAGCGUAGACGGCAGAGCAAGCCUGAAGUGAAAGGCCGCGGCCCAACUGAGGGACUGCUUUGGAAACUGGCCGGCUAGAGUGCUGGAGAGGUAAGUGGAAUUCGUAGUGUAGCGGUGAAAUGCGUAGAUAUUAGGAAGAACACCAAUGGCGAAGGCAGCUUACUGGACAUUAACUGACGCUGAGGCACGAAGGCCAGGGUAGCGAAAGGGAUUAGAUACCCCAGUAGUC
rnacentral:rRNA from 1 species